rnacentral:rRNA from 1 species
UACGAAGGGGGCUAGCGUUGUUCGGAAUCACUGGGCGUAAAGCGUAUGUAGGCGGAUUGUUAAGUCAGGGGUGAAAUCCCGAGGCUCAACCUCGGAACUGCCUUUGAUACUGGCUUUCUUGAGUUCGGGAGAGGUGAGUGGAACUCCUAGUGUAGAGGUGAAAUUCGUAGAUAUUAGGAAGAACACCAGUGGCGAAGGCGGCUCACUGGCCCGAAACUGACGCUGAUGUACGAAAGCGUGGGGAGCAAACAGG